AUUCAAAGAAAUGGUUUUUAUCAAGAGAAUAAAAGAUUCUGUGAAUACACGCACCGAUAUUGGUAGUUUGAGUUCGGUGUAUUUUAACUUAAUUAAUAAGGUAAAUGUAGAUAGUUUUAUCGCGCGGUAGUUCGUGUUUCCUUUUGAAUCGGGUGUUAGUAUGUCUCACACAUUUUAAUGCAGUCUGUCUUGCCUAAUACAUUAGUUUAUACUUAUACGUCUUAUUUGAUGUGGUUUUUUAUGAUAUCCUGAUAAUGCCAUUUUAUUUUAUGGACAUUUAUUUGAUGAUUUCGAUGUAUUCGAAUGAUUUAUAACCGUUAUUCAUAGGCCUGAUGAAGGAGCUAAAUGCUCAGAAACGUUGCCAUUGAAUAAAUUGUAUACAACUGUUCCUUGUGACUGAUAUUCCUCACCAUCGAAUUAAAUCUUCGGAACGAUAAUUUUAUCUGAA